UCAUCUUGUUGUGAGGUAACAUCUGCUCCUGCCAUUGUCUUCGAAUACGUCAUACCCCUCGACUGGGCUUUGGCAUAAAAGAAUGUUCUAGAAAGAGUGAGGUCUUAUUAAAAAGUGAACCAACGGUCUGGAAGAAAGUCAUUACUGAAAUUUGCCGAAGUUUGAUCCAGGAGAAAGUCUUCAGUCCACGAUGGUCAAGCUUGAAAUAUUUGUCCUGGUGUUGGUCAGUUGUAUAUGCCUGAGCCAAUGCGACAGUAAAAAAGAAUACAAGUGUUUCAGCGGGAACAGGUGUACUGUCAGCGCCAAUGCCAGCAGCAGAACGAUCACGCGAAACAACGUCGUGUACUGUUGCAAGGGGGAUGACGUCAUAUCCGCCUCAGGACAAAUAGAUGACUUCACUUUCUCGGCAAACCUCAAACGUGCUGAGAGUUUUGAUUGCACAUGCGCAAAGUUGGCUCGUGGCGAACUCGAUGCCAACAUUAAAGAGAUGGUGGGAAAAUAUUUCCCAAACAGUGACGAUUAAAAACAAAUUGUCGGGGCGGUUAUAUAAAACUCCACUUGUUUUUCCACAGUGGUAUUGUUCUUAGGAUUUUAAAAUUGAUGUAUAAUUAUUAAUAAUUCCUUUUUAUUAGUUUAUUUUCCUAAUGUAUUAAAUCAAUAAUAAAUAAAUAUAUAUAUAUCUAAUUUAGUCAGAAUUAUUGCAAUAAAGAAAAUGAAUCAAAUUG